GGUCCGUUAUGCUGCUUGAUAUCGCAUAACGCCAUCUGCAAAACAUACAUUUAAAUUUAAUAUCAAAAUCAUUUGAAUGUGACUCUAUCGCCCUCUUGAGGACUGGAGUUUGUGACUUUAUUGAAACUGCGCUCCAUAAAUUCAAAAACUAACCGUUGCGUCGUUUAACGUUAAGUUCGUUUUAAACAAUUUCAAAUAAUGACUGAGAUUCAUAGGCUGAGAUUUCACUGAGAAGAAAUAAAGAAACCUGCGUGUUGAAGCUCUGAGAGGCUGGACCAGAAAAACAAAGAUAAACACACUGAUCACAAAGAGGAAAAGAAUUUGGCUUGCCGGAGUUUCCAUCUGUUGGAGUCACUGAAGUCGAGUCAUCUGAGGUCACUGAUGGAGUCGUUCUUCACGCAAGAGUCCGAGCACGUGACAGAGUCUCGGCUAGCUCCAUGAGUUUUGAUGGUUUUUUUUCCUCCUCUCUGAAAGAAGUGACAGGCAAUAAAGGAGAAGUGACGUGGAGGAGUUAUUCACUGAGGCCUUUGGUAUUCCAUGUGUGUUUAUCUACAUCUUAAACUUGUCACAAACUGCUGAAAAGACAAACUUAAAAAAAAAUUACAAUACACCACUAUAGCUAUAACAAGGUGACAGCUGAAAAACUUUCUGCACAGUCAAAGAGCAUUUAAAUCUAAACACACACUCGUGAUUCAGAGAGGUUGUUGUUGUGGUUUUCAGGGUGUUCACACUAAAUAAAAAGUCAUCUUUUAGUUGUUUUGAAGGAUUUAUUAAAACGGACUAUUCCCCAGUAUUUUCCAUGCUGUAAUAUUCUGAGAAGUCAUAAGCCGCCCCCACAGUAGUAACAAAUUUAAUUGCUAGAGAAGAAAACCAGAGCCUACGACUCGCUGAUCAUCUCAAUAAAAAGCAGCUCAAAGGCUGUGUUCUUGGACUG